rnacentral:rRNA from 1 species
UGCGUAGGUGGCGUGGUAAGUCAGAUGUGAAAUCCCCGAGCUCAACUUGGGAACUGCGUUUGGAACUGUCAGACUAGAGUGCGUCAGAGGGGGGUGGAAUUCCGCGUGUAGCAGUGAAAUGCGUAGAGAUGCGGAGGAACACCGAUGGCGAAGGCAGCCCCCUGGGAUGACACUGACGCUCAUGCACGAAAGCGUGGGGAGCAAACAGGAUUAGAUACCCUAGUA